CCUACGGGUGGCAGCAGUGGGGGAUAUUGCACAAUGGAGGGAACUCUGAUGCAGCGACGCCGCGUGAGGGAAGAAGGUUUUCGGAUUGUAAACCUCUGUCUUCGGUGACGAAACGAGACGGUAGCCGAGGAGGAAGCCACGGCUAACUACGUGCCAGCAGCCGCGGUAAUACGUAGGUGGCAAGCGUUGUCCGGAAUUAUUGGGUUUAAAGGGUGCGUAGGCGGAUUUUUAAGUCAGCGGUAAAAUGUCCGGGCUCAACCCGGGCCGGCCGUUGAAACUGGGGAUCUUGAGUGGGCGAGAAGUAUGCGGAAUGCAUGGUGUAGCGGUGAAAUGCAUAGAUAUCACGCAGAACUCCGAUUGCGAAGGCAGCAUACCGGCGCCCGACUGACGCUGAGGCACGAAAGCGUGGGGAUCGAACAGGAUUAGAUACCCGUGUAGUC
rnacentral:rRNA from 1 species